rnacentral:lncRNA from 1 species
CUGCUGCUGCAUGGCCUACACUACUUCGGUGAGGCCCCUGACCUGUCGAACCAGCAAGUCAAACUACUCCAUACCGAUUGCCGUUGCAGGAGGAGGAGGAGCCUGAAAAACUAGAGACGAGGUCAAAGCUUGGGGGGCUCGCUGAGAUCUGGCCGCAGAGGCCGUGGAUCGCCUAGUGGAUGCCUUUCGUGGAGGCAUCAGGUGAAGAUCUGGCAGGAGAAGAAGAAGAAGAUGUCAGAGAAGAUGAUCGGAGAUGGUCCCAUUGAGCACUCCUUUAAGAAUAAGGGUACUGCAAAGACACAGGCCCUUCCUCUAGCGCUAAUUCUGUUGGUGCAGAAUUUCACCGAUGCCGAAGAAGCUAGAGUCGAGAGGAUCGC